CGUGUAGGCGGCUUUGCAAGUCGGGUGUGAAAGCCCACGGCUUAACCGUGGAAGUGCGCCCGAAACUGCAGAGCUUGAGUGUCGGAGAGGGUGGCGGAAUUCCGCAAGUAGAGGUGAAAUUCGUAGAUAUGCGGAGGAACACCGGUGGCGAAGGCGGCCACCUGGACGACAACUGACGCUGAGACGCGAAAGCGUGGGGAGCAAACA
rnacentral:rRNA from 1 species